GACGAACGCUGGCGGCGUGCUUAACACAUGCAAGUCGAACGGAAAGGCCCCCUUGUGGGGUACUCGAGUGGCGAACGGGUGAUUAACACGUGAGUAACCUACCCCUGACUUUUGGAUAACUUCAGGAAACUGGGGCUAAUACCGCAUAGGAGCUCCUGCUGCAUGGUGGGGGUUGGAAAGUUUCGGCGGUUGGGGAUGGACUCGCGGCUUAUUAGCUUGUUGGUGGGGUAGUGGCUCACCAAGGCUUUGACGGGUAGCCGGCCUGAGAGGGUGACCGGCCACAUUGGGACUGAGAUACGGCCCAGACUCCUACGGGAGGCAGCAGUGGGGAAUAUUGCACAAUGGGCGGAAGCCUGAUGCAGCAACGCCGCGUGCGGGAUGACGGCCUUCGGGUUGUAAACCGCUUUCGCCUGUGACGAAGCGUGAGUGACGGUAAUGGGUAAAGAAGCACCGGCUAACUACGUG
rnacentral:rRNA from 1 species